rnacentral:rRNA from 1 species
UGCAAGUCGAGCGGACAGAAGGGAGCUUGCUCCCGGAUGUUAGCGGCGGACGGGUGAGUAACACGUGGGUAACCUGCCUGUAAGACUGGGAUAACUCCGGGAAACCGGAGCUAAUACCGGAUAGUUCCUUGAACCGCAUGGUUCAAGGAUGAAAGACGGUUUCGGCUGUCACUUGCAGAUGGACCCGCGGCGCAUUAGCUAGUUGGUGGGGUAAUGGCUCACCAAGGCGACGAUGCGUAGCCGACCUGAGAGGGUGAUCGGCCACACUGGGACUGAGACACGGCCCAGACUCCUACGGGAGGCAGCAGUAGGGAAUCUUCCGCAAUGGACGAAAGUCUGACGGAGCAACGCCGCGUGAGUGAUGAAGGUUUUCGGAUCGUAAAGCUCUGUUGUUAGGGAAGAACAAGUGCGAGAGUAACUGCUCGCACCUUGACGGUACCUAACCAGAAAGCCACGGCUAACUACGUGCCAGCAGCCGCGGUAAUACGUAGGUGGCAAGCGUUGUCCGGAAUUAUUGGGCGUAAAGGGCUCGCAGGCGGUUUCUUAAGUCUGAUGUGAAAGCCCCCGGCUCAACCGGGGAGGGUCAUUGGAAACUGGGAAACUUGAGUGCAGAAGAGGAGAGUGGAAUUCCACGUGUAGCGGUGAAAUGCGUAGAGAUGUGGAGGAACACCAGUGGCGAAGGCGACUCUCUGGUCUGUAACUGACGCUGAGGAGCGAAAGCGUGGGGAGCGAACAGGAUUAGAUACCCUGGUAGUCCACGCCGUAAACGAUGAGUGCUAAGUGUUAGGGGGUUUCCGCCCCUUAGUGCUGCAGCUAACGCAUUAAGCACUCCGCCUGGGGAGUACGGUCGCAAGACUGAAACUCAAAGGAAUUGACGGGGGCCCGCACAAGCGGUGGAACAUGUGGUUUAAUUCGAAGCAACGCGAAGAACCUUACCAGGUCUUGACAUCCUCUGACAACCCUAGAGAUAGGGCUUUCCCUUCGGGGACAGAAUGACAGGUGGUGCAUGGUUGUCGUCACCUCGUGUCGUGAGAAGUUGGGUU